AAAAUAUUGUCUCAUACGUUUCCUACUUAUUUCUUUCUCCGGCGACCUCCUAACGAUUCCUUCCUCCGGCGAUAUCGACUUUGAGCAACACUUUUGGUUAAUCUACAGGAGCAAAGCUGACCUUGUUUUGGUUUUCAUAGCAGUUCAAUGGGCACUAUCUGAAUCAUCCUUAUAUGUAGUGAUAGUUGUAAUGUAAAACAGUCAAAAUACAAAGUUCCUGUAAUCUAUAACUUUGUUAUAUUUACUUGAUCUGUGCAAUUUUAAAGAAGUAUGAUGACCUGAAAUGGAUUGAG
rnacentral:misc_RNA from 1 species